rnacentral:lncRNA from 1 species
CAUAGGAUUACUCGUCCUCUCUCUUUCCUUGUCUAAGGUUUCAGCUUUAACCUAACCUAACAUAAUUAGAUUCACAAAAUCGAGAUGAUUUUAUUUUGUUUUAUUUCCAUUUUGGAAGAAGGAAAUAAAGAAAACAUUGAUUAUGGUGAAAAAGUUUACUGGAGAACUUGAACAAGAGUUACAGAUAUGACAAACAUCUAGAAGAUGGAAUCCUGCGUUCUUAAAGAAAAAAGCUAGUUCCAGAAGUAAGCUACCAAUAAUAAACUAGAGAAUGUAUUACAAGAAAGAACAACGCUAAUACUCAACAUCGCUCAAUUGCUUCAGAUAGAAAAAGAGGAGGAAAGGGUACAACACAAGCGUGCCAGAGAAAAUGAAAGGGCAG